UUCCUUUUUGGUUCGGUUUUGGUUAUUUCGAUGCACUUCCAGCUCCUGUGUAUAUAUAUAUAUAUAUUAUUAUUUUCCUUCAGUUCAGCUGCGGGCUCCUUAAAAGAGAAUAAAAGGUCAGUGAGUGCACGUGGUGGUAUCUGCAGUGCUUUGAGGCCGCCAUUGACCCCCCCCCUCCCCCACUAUUCCGGCCUUAUUCCCCUAUUUGGGAUCAUUGUCACUCUCAGCCCCCCCUUAUCAACCCCCCUCCCCCCCCCCCAGGGUGCUGCGGGGUCCCUACGGGCCCUUCACGACAGCCCGCAGUGCUUUACGGCACUGCCCUUCGCGUCACCUGCGGCGCUUUACGGCACUGCCAUUCACGACACCCUGCAGCGCUUUACGGCACUGCCCUCCCUUCGCGGCACCCUGCGGCGCUUUUUAACCCGUCGCCUCAGGCCACCCAGCGGUACUUUACGGCUGACGGCACUUUACGGCACUGCUCUUCGCGACACCCCCACAGCGCUUUACGGCACCCCCCUUCACGACACCCAGCAGCGCUUUACGGCACUGCCCUUCGCGACACCCCGCGGCGCUUCUUUAACCUGCGCCUCAGGACACCCCACGGCGCUUUACGGCAUUGCCCUUCACGACACCCCGCGACGCUUUUUAACUCGUCGCCUCAGGCCACCCAGCGGUGCUUUACGGCUGACGGCGCUUUACGGCACUGCCCUUCACGAUACCCAGCAGCGCUUUACGACACUGCCCUUCGCGACACCCCGCAGCGCUUUACGGCACUGCCCUUCGCGACACCCCGCGGCACUCUUUAACCUGCGCCUCAGGCCACCCGGCGGUGCUUUACGGCCGGCGGCGCUUUACGGCAGCGCCCCGGUCGUGGCUGGUGGUGGUGGCGGCGGCGGCGUCGCUUUGCGGCCGAAUCUCGAUGAGUUUUUACGACGCUUUCCGCGGCUUCUUCGGCUUCCCGGGGCGCGGCAGGCCCCGGGACCCGUUAUUCGGUGCACCGUGGGAUGA
rnacentral:lncRNA from 1 species